rnacentral:rRNA from 1 species
AUUGAACGCUGGCGGCAUGCCUUACACAUGCAAGUCGAACGGCAGCGGACCUUCGGGUGCCGGCGAGUGGCGAACGGGUGAGUAAUAUAUCGGAACGUACCUUUCAGUGGGGGAUAACGUAGCGAAAGUUACGCUAAUACCGCAUAUUCUGUGAGCAGGAAAGCAGGGGAUCGCAAGACCUUGCGCUGAUUGAGCGGCCGAUAUCAGAUUAGCUAGUUGGUGAGGUAAAGGCUCACCAAGGCGACGAUCUGUAGCGGGUCUGAGAGGAUGAUCCGCCACACUGGAACUGAGACACGGUCCAGACUCCUACGGGAGGCAGCAGUGGGGAAUUUUGGACAAUGGGCGCAAGCCUGAUCCAGCCAUGCCGCGUGAGUGAAGAAGGCCUUCGGCGUGUAAAGACUCUUUCGGUCCGGG